AUUGAACGCUGGCGGCAGGCCUAACACAUGCAAGUCGAGCGGUAGCACAGAGAGCUUGCUCUCGGGUGACGAGCGGCGGACGGGUGAGUAAUGUCUGGGAAACUGCCUGAUGGAGGGGGAUAACUACUGGAAACGGUAGCUAAUACCGCAUAACGUCGCAAGACCAAAGUGGGGGACCUUCGGGCCUCAUGCCAUCAGAUGUGCCCAGAUGGGAUUAGCUAGUAGGUGGGGUAAUGGCUCACCUAGGCGACGAUCCCUAGCUGGUCUGAGAGGAUGACCAGCCUCACUGGAACUGAGACACGGUCCAGACUCCUACGGGAGGCAGCAGUGGGGAAUAUUGCACAAUGGGCGCAAGCCUGAUGCAGCCAUGCCGCGUGUAUGAAGAAGGCCUUCGGGUUGUAAAGUACUUUCAGCGAGGAGGAAGGCGUUAAGGUUAAUAACCUUGGCGAUUGACGUUACUCGCAGAAGAAGCACCGGCUAACUCCGUGCCAGCAGCCGCGGUAAUACGGAGGGUGCAAGCGUUAAUCGGAAUUACUGGGCGUAAAGCGCACGCAGGCGGUUUGUUAAGUCAGAUGUGAAAUCCCCGGGCUCAACCUGGGAACUGCAUUUGAAUCUGGCAAGCUUGAGUCUUGUAGAGGGGGGUAGAAUUCCAGGUGUAGCGGUGAAAUGCGUAGAGAUCUGGAGGAAUACCGGUGGCGAAGGCGGCCCCCUGGACAAAGACUGACGCUCAGGUGCGAAAGCGU
rnacentral:rRNA from 1 species